rnacentral:rRNA from 1 species
CCUACGGGAGGCAGCAGUGGGGAAUAUUGGACAAUGGGGGAAACCCUGAUCCAGCGACGCCGCGUGUGUGAAGAAGGCCUGCGGGUUGUAAAGCACUUUUAGUGGGGAUGAAAAGCUCAGGGCUAAUACCCUUGGGUCUUGACCUAACCCACAGAAAAAGCACCGGCUAACUCUGUGCCAGCAGCCGCGGUAAUACAGAGGGUGCGAGCGUUAAUCGGAAUUACUGGGCGUAAAGCGUGCGUAGACGGUUACGUAAGUCGGGUGUGAAAGCCCCGGGCUCAACCUGGGAAUUGCAUUCGAGACUGUGUAGCUAGGGUGCGGAAGAGGGAAGCGGAAUUUCCGGUGUAGCGGUGAAAUGCGUAGAUAUCGGAAGGAACAUCAGUGGCGAAAGCGGCUUCCUGGUCCAGCACCGACGUUCAGGCACGAAAGCGUGGGGAGCA